AUUGAACGCUGGCGGCAUGCUUUACACAUGCAAGUCGAACGGCAGCGCGGGGCAACCCUGGCGGCGAGUGGCGAACGGGUGAGUAAUGUAUCGGAACGUAUCCUGUAAUGGGGGAUAACCAGUCGAAAGAUUGGGUAAUACCGCAUACGCACGAGAGUGGAAAGUAGGGGAUCGCAAGACCUUACGUUAUAGGAGCGGCCGAUAUCUGAUUAGCUAGUUGGUGGGGUAAAGGCCUACCAAGGCGACGAUCAGUAGCUGGUCUGAGAGGACGACCAGCCACACUGGGACUGAGACACGGCCCAGACUCCUACGGGAGGCAGCAGUGGGGAAUUUUGGACAAUGGGCGAAAGCCUGAUCCAGCCAUGCCGCGUGCAGGAAGAAGGCCUUCGGGUUGUAAACUGCUUUAGUCUAGGAAAAAGGGGUGCGAGGUUAAUACCCUCGUGCUUUGAUGGUACUGGAAGAAUAAGCACCGGCUAACUACGUG
rnacentral:rRNA from 1 species